rnacentral:rRNA from 1 species
AGCUGACUAGCUAGCCAACACAUUUGGUCUAACACCACAACAUACAUAUCCCUAUAAAACUUAAAAUUAAGUCAACAAACCAUUUUUCCACCUUAGUACGGGCGACGGAAAAGGAAACAUUCGAGCAACAGAAAAAGUACCGCAAGGGAAAGCUGAAAGAGAAAUGAAACAACCCAUUUAAGCCUAGAAAAGCAGAGAUUAAAUCUCGUACCUUUUGCAUCAUGAUUUAGCCAGCAAACCUGAGCAAAGAGAACUUUAGUUCAGGCCCCCGAAACUAGACGAGCUACUCCGGGACAGCCUGUUAUAGGGCCAACCCGUCUCUGUGGCAAAAGAGUGGGACGAGCCCCGAGUAGAGGUGAUAAACCUAUCGAGCCUAGUUAUAGCUGGUUGCUUAGGAAAUGAAUAGAAGUUCAGCCUCCUGGCUUUCUUAGGACCUCAAGGUAAAACUAACCUCGUCCCAAAGAAACCAAGAGAGUUAGUCAAAGGAGGUACAGCUCCUUUGAACAAGGACACAACCUUAACAGGCGGCUAAGGAUCAUAAUUACUAAGGCGACCUGUUACAGUGGGCCUAAGAGCAGCCACCUGCGUAGAAAGCGUUAAAGCUCAGACAGAUAUAAGCCUCUUAUCCUGAUAAGAAAUCCUACCCCCCUAACCAUACUAAGCCGUUCCAUGCCCCCAUGGAAGCGAUUAUGCUAGAAUGAGUAAUAAGAGAGAACAACUCUCUCCCAGCACAUGUGUAAGUCGGACCGGACCCACCACCGACAAAUAACGAACCCAAACCAAGAGGGAACUGUAAGCCAGAAUAAACAUCCAAGAAGAACCUGCAUCUAUAAAUCGUUAACCCCACACAGGAGUGCUUACAGGG